AACGAACGCUGGCGGCAUGCCUAACACAUGCAAGUCGAACGAGACCUUCGGGUUUAGUGGCGCACGGGUGCGUAACGCGUGGGAACCUGCCCUUAGGUUUGGAAUAACUCCCCGAAAGAGGUGCUAAUACCGGCUAAUGUCCUCCGUCCAAAGUUUGAUCGCCUUUGGAUGGGCCGGGGUUGGAUUAGCUAGAUGUUAGGGUAAAAGCCUACCAAGGCGUGGUGCCAUAACUGGUUAGAGAGGCAGGGCAGCGACACUGGGGGUAGGACACGGUCGGGACUACUGCGGGAGGGGGCAGUGGGUGAUAUUGGCAAGUGGGGGGAGGGCUGAUGGAGCUAGGCCGGGUGAGUAAUGAAGGCCGUGGGGUAGUAAAGCACUUUUACCCGGGGCGGUAAUGACGGUACCGGGAGAAUAAGCACCGGCUAACUCCGUG
rnacentral:rRNA from 1 species